GCUGGUGUAGCUCAAUUGGUAGAGCAGCUGAUUUGUAAUCAGCAGGUCGCGGGUUCGAAUCCCAUCACCAGCUCCA
rnacentral:tRNA from 1 species